AUACAAUGCGUUUUAGGAUAACAGUUAUCUUGAAAAUAAAUAAGUUUUUCGAGUAUAAAAGAGGUGCCAUUUUGCCAAAACGUUAAUUAUUUCUUGACAACAGACAUCGUGAGAAUCAUCAUGAGGAUCUUUUACUUUCUUGUCAUACUGGCGUGCCUGUUCACUUUGCCUGCCAUAAUGGCACAAACCACCAACGAACCGAUUACUGAGGCAGACCCUGAAAAUGCUGGUACAGAUGAGUAAA